GGUCCUUGUUUCAGCAGCCCAUGUACUAAAAUUGGAACGAUACAGAGAAGAUUAGCAUGGCCCCUGUGCAAGUAUGACACACAAAUUUGUAAAAUUGCUUUCACUAUG